ACGCCGUGACUGCGUCUUGCUGCAGGUUUGAGUAUUUCUCAACGCGGCGU
rnacentral:ncRNA from 1 species